GAAACAUAGUGUUCGAAAAAAGAAAAAAAGAAGAAGAAAAUAAAGAGGAAACAACUCUGACCAAUAGGAAAGAAUGGCGAGGAUAGCUACAAUAUCAAUCUCCACCGGACCACCGCUGACCGUUGAUAGAUCUCAAUCUAACGGAUAUAAUUAUUCCUUUUUAUCAUCUCUUUCCUCUCCCUGGUUUACUGACGACGUUUCCAAUUUUGUUCGCUAUUGUCAAACUAAAUUAUCAACCUUCUCACAAUCCUCUCUAGUUUCAUCUUUUCAUCUCUCGUAUUGUCGUCCUCUGCAAUCUUCUUCUCUCUGGUGCUCCUUACCUCCUCUUCUAUGAAACCCUCUGCCUCUCUAUCUUUUUCCUUUUUCUCUGCCUAUCCCUUAUCUUCACAGAUCUCAUUUUUAGAUCUAUCCUAACCUCACUCAGACACAAAGUUCAUCUCACAGACAUCUCUCUAUCUCACGCUCCUAAUCUUUCCGUCUCACAUACGACACAUCUCCAACCAUCUUCUUCAAAAAGGCAGAGGAGAAACGCCGACAGACUCGUCUCUGGUUUGCUUCACCGGACACCACCUCCACAGAUUUAUUAACGAGCAAUGAAAGGAGAAACAGUGGUGUGACAUAGCAGCGUCUACGGUCAAGCGUGGUGCGGCGGUUGUGCAAGCCGGUGGUGGGGUGGUGGUCGUGCGGUGGUUGUCGUGGGGUGGAGAUGCGAGCAUCAUGGUCGGCCGAGACUGAAGAAGAAUGUAGUUUGGUGUAUUAGGUUUAGUUAGGGUUAAUUAGUUAACCAAUUUGUAAUUGCAAACCAAUUUGUAAUUGCAAACCAAUUUGUAUUGUAAACCAUUUUGAAAUUUUAAACCAAUGAAAUUGUAAACCAUGUAAACCAAAAUUCAAUUUAUAAAAAUACCAAUUUAUUAUU